AGGGAAAGAAAAAUCUAGAAGUUGCGUGCGACCUCUAUACCUUCUGCCGUUCUCGACCUCUGAUCCUUCUUCUUCGUUCCUUGCCGUCGCCGACGAGGCAGACGAGUUGCCGUGAGGUCGCUGUCACUGUGCGAUGCCCAGAAGCUUCGAACGCUUUCCUCGUCUUCUCUUCGACAAUUUUCAUUCCUCCAUAGUUCAGAUCGGCGUCGGUGAGAAUCUGGUGCUGUUUCACUGUUGCUCUCUCGUUUAUUUUCUGAUAUGAGAUUCAUUCGGCCUCCCCUGCCUCUCCUCUGUUGGUGUGCUGCUGUAGGGGUCACGGUUAUCAUUGUUCUUCUCCGUCUUCUCUGCUUCGCAUGUAUCCAGUAACGUCAAUCUCUAUAUACCUGAUUCGAACAGCAAUAGCCCCUUCUCUAGCUUCCGUCAUUAUUAGUCUGAGCCCCAACCCUUUUCUUGUUCUUCUCUGCUUGAGUCGUGGCUACUUCAGAUAGUGUAGCUGACACUGAAUCACCCACUGAACAUUUGGGAGUUUGUGAUUGAUUAAAAGCGGAGGAGCUAAGGGUUAAACUUUCUCUUGACGUAAAAUUUUAAUUAUGAAAUUUUAUUUUGUAAACUUAUUUUUAGGUGCUCCACAUAAUCUGUAGUCAGGUUAUUUAUGUGGUUAUAUAUUUUGUCUAUCGGUUGGAAGGAGCUUUACUCCUGAUUGGCUUGAUACUUUCGGUUGAAAUAUUGUCUUGUAGAAUUUUCGAGAGAUCUUAUUUACAGAGGAGAUUCUAUCAAAAUUUUUAUAA